rfam:Hypsibius dujardini strain Z151 scaffold0170, whole genome shotgun sequence.
GCCGCUUUAGCUCAGUGGUAGAGCAUCAGUCUCGUAAACUGAGGGCCCCGUGUUCGAACCACGGAAGUGGCU